CCUACGGGAGGCAGCAGUAAGGAAUAUUGGUCAAUGGGCGCAAGCCUGAACCAGCCAUGCCGCGUGCAGGAAGACGGCCCUAUGGGUUGUAAACUGCUUUUGAACAAGAGAAAACCUCGGUACGUGUACCGAGCUGAUAGUAUUGUUAGAAUAAGCAUCGGCUAACUUCGUGCCAGCAGCCGCGGUAAGACGAAGGAUGCAAGCGUUAUCCGGAUUCAUUGGGUUUAAAGGGUGCGUAGGCGGCCUGAUAAGUCAGUGGUGAAAUCUCUCAGCUUAACUGAGAAACUGCCAUUGAUACUGUCGGGCUUGAGUACAGAUGAUGUGGGCGGAAUAUGACAUGUAGUGGUGAAAUACUUAGAUAUGUCAUAGAACACCGAUUGCGAAGGCAGCUCACAAACUGUAACUGACGCUGAGACGACGAAGUAGNGGGAGUACAACAGAGUAGUAUACCUACGUAGUACGCGACCGUAACGUAACUAGUAUAC
rnacentral:rRNA from 1 species